CAUCUAGCGAACAGUAAAGUACAUUAAUUGCUUUAGCAUUUAGUUGUGCUAGUCUUCUAUCACUCUCAUUCCAAUCCAUUUUUGGUUUGGGAAUGAUUGUGCCCUCUAUACUAAUUGUGGGUGUGUGUGGUCCUCUAGUUAUGAUAUUCCACAAUUCAUAGUCUAGAGCUUGAAUGAAUAUCCUCAUCCUAGCUUUCCAGUAUGUGUAAUUAGUGCCAUUAAACAAACAGAGGAGGUCUAUUUGUGGAUUGCCCCUUGCUCAUAGAACAUCCUACUUGGGUUGUCAUGAUCUUUGUCUCUUGAUUGUGAGAUCAACAAAUACUAUGAGAGCACCUUGCUCUGAUUUCACUUGUUGCCCAAGGUGACAAGCCAAGAGGGGGGGUGAAUUGGUUUCUCUAAAUUUUUACUUUCUUAAUUGAGUUAAUUGAUGAGUGAGUGAAGUUAAAAUAAUACACAAUGCAAACACACAAGAAGUAUAGUGGUUCGGUGCUCUCCUAAGCACCUACGUCCACUCUCCAAGCGACCCCUUGGAAAUUCACUAUAAUCCCACGGAUUACAGUUAGAUUGUUUUCCGGGCUCACAAUCCAAAAAUAUUUGCACUUUGGUUUUUCAGGGUCACCAAAAAUCUAUGUUGGUUUUACGGGCUCACUAACAAACCUUCACAGUUGGUUUUACGGGUUCACCAACAAACCUACACCGUUGGUUUUACGGGCUCACCAACAAACCUUUACAAGGUGAUUAAGAACAAGAAAAAAGUUGAAACUCCUAGAUGAGCAAAUAUAACAACUAUGAGCUACAAAGAAGAGUUUAGAAUAUAGUUAUUGCUUUGAUGAGACUUCUCUCUUCUUUGUCAAGAUUGCUUCACUCUUCAAGGGUUGAUGGAGUGAUAGUCAACUUUAAAGA
rnacentral:lncRNA from 1 species